AAAUUCGCCUGCAUGAAGCCGGAAUUGCUAGUAAUGGCAGGUCAGCAUACUGCCGUGAAUACGUUCCCGGGCCUUGUACACACCGCCCGUCACACCAUGAGAGUUGGGGAUACCCAAAGCCCGUGAGCCAACUUUAAAAGAGGCAGCGGUCUAAGGUAGAAUCAAUGAUUGGGGUGAAGUCGUAACAAGGUACC
rnacentral:rRNA from 1 species